GCGCAGGAAAAGAAACCAACAGGGAUUGCCCCAGUAACGGCGAGUGAAGCGGCAACAGCUCAAAUUUGAAAUCUGGCUUCGGCCCGAGUUGUAAUUUGCAGAGGAAGCUUUAGGCGCGGCACCAUCUGAGUCCCCUGGAACGGGGCGCCAAAGAGGGUGAGAGCCCCGUAUAGAUGGACGCCUAGCCUGUGUAAAGCUCCUUCGACGAGUCGAGUAGUUUGGGAAUGCUGCUCAAAAUGGGAGGUAAAUUUCUUCUAAAGCUAAAUAUUGGCCAGAGACCGAUAGUGCGCAAGUAGAGUGAUCGAAAGAUGAAAAGCACUUUGAAAAGAGGGUUAAAUAGCACGUGAAAUUGUUGAAAGGGAAGCGCUUGUGACCAGACUUGCGCCGGGCGGAUCAUCCGGUGUUCUCACCGGUGCACUCCGCCCGGCUCAGGCCAGCAUCGGUUCUCGUGGGGGGAUAAAGGCACCGGGAACGUAGCUCCUCCGGGAGUGUUAUAGCCCGGGGCGUAAUGCCCUCGCGGGGACCGAGGACCGCGCUUCUGCAAGGAUGCUGGCGUAAUGGUCAUCAGCGACCCGUCUUGAAACACGGACCAAGGAGUCAAGGUUUUGCGCGAGUGUUUGGGUGUAAAACCCGCACGCGUAAUGAAAGUGAACGUAGGUGAGAGCUUCGGCGCAUCAUCGACCGAUCCUGAUGUUCUCGGAUGGAUUUGA
rnacentral:rRNA from 1 species